CCAUAGCAGUGGAGUACACUCGGUUGAACCGUUGGAUAGCUCCAGAUUGGUUAGUCCCUCUCAUCAGAACACAUAGCAGAUAUAUGAAGCAGCAGCAGUAGUAUAUAGUUUUCCGAUGGGGGUUUGGAAGAUCUGCCCCCUGCACAUACAGAGCUGCACCACCCCGAUUAGUUUUACGCCUCGCCGCGGCUGAGAGCGACGUGAUUGCGUCGUGUCCCGCGACCGCCGGACACGACGCGCCCGUGUGGCCUGCCCUGUCGACCCUUGACAUACAUUUAUAUCAUCAUCGAGGCACUUGCGAUUUU